AACAGCACCUUGUACAAAAUUUUUAAGAGGAAAAUGUAAUGCUGAAUCCCAUUGUAGACAUGCACAUUAUAUAGAAGAAUUAAGACCGUUGCCUGGUAAUUCAACACCAUCUCAAAAUGCUAUAAAUUUAAUGUUAGCAGCACCUGUAGUUAACUCUUUCCAUAAAAUGAAUAAAACAAAGAGUGUGAAUAAAACUGGUAGUAAUAAUCAUCAUAAUAGUUAUAUAAUAAAUGGGAUUAAUAAUAAUAAUAAUAAUAAUGGUAAUAGUAGUAGCAAUACCAGCAGUAAGAAUAAUAAUAAUAAUAAUAAUAAUAAAAAAAAAAAUGAUAAACAUUUAAAACAUUCCAAUUCCAUAGGAUGUAAUAAAUUUAAUAUACAAAAGUGUGAUAAUAACAAGACCUUUUCAAAUCAAAUGGUAAAAAAUCCUAGUUUGGAUAAUACGAAUACAAAUAAUGACAUAAACCAAUUAAACAUGAAUAAUAAUAAUAAUAAUAAUAAUAAUAACAAUAAUAAUAAUAAUAAUAAUAAUAUGAUUGCAAACAUACAUGGGGAUAUAGGUAAUGCAGCUUUGAGUGGUAGCAAUAGUACUAUUGCAUCGUUGAAUUGUAACAUGCUUACACCUGAUAGUAGUAUGAGCACGAUAUGUGUUAAUAUGAGUACACCUGGUGGUAGUGGUAUGUGUACCCUGAGUGGUAGUAGUAUGAUUCCUUUGGGUAAUAACCAAAAUAUAUUAAAUGACAACCAUAAAAUGACAAUGAGUAGUAAUUAUGACAAUGUUUUGAAUGAAAAUAAUAAUAAUUGCACGACGAAUGGUGGCUUAAACGAUUCCAUUAAUGGUAACCUAAAUGAUCGCAUAAACGAUAACCUUAACACUAACAUGGAUAACAGUUUGAAUAUGAAUAUAAAUAAAAAUUAUCAAAAAAGUUCAUCUUAUCCUAAUAAAAUGCAUAACUUGUUAAAAAUUAAAGAAAAUAACAAUGAGCAUUUUAACCGCCACAACCAUCAUCAUCAAUACCACCACCAUCACACUGCUACUCUUAAUAAUAUAAAUUUUAAAAAUUAUAUAAUAAAUAAUAAUAAUAAUAAUAAUAAUAAUAUAGAAAAUGAAAAUAAUGCAAACUCGUACCCGAACUCGUACCCAAACUCGUACCCGAACUCGUACCCAAACUCGUACCCAAAUUCGUACCCAAAUUCGUAUGCAAACUCGUAUGCAAACUCGUAUGCAAACUCGUAUGCAAACUCGUACACGAAUAUGAGCACAUUAGGGUUCGGGAAAUUGCAAACGUUAUGUAGUAAUAGUAAUAGCGACUAUGUUAAUAAUAAUAAUAAUAACAAUAAUAAUAAUAAUAAUAAUAAUAAUAACAAUAAUAAUAAUAUAGAUAACGAUUUAUGUAGUACAACGUGCAAAUCGCUUAGUGAUUUUAUUACCACAGAUGUAAAUUCGAAUUAUGGUUUGAAUCAUAAGGCAAAUAUAACAAAUAUAUUAAAUAAUACGGAUAAUGAUAAUGAUGAUAGUAAUGUUACUAGAAUAACACAGGAUUCACAUUUUAAUGUAAAUAAAAAUACAAAACUAAAAGGAAGUCAAGGGUUCCUUACUUUUUCUUCUUAUUCAUUAAGAGGUGUAUCAGCAUCAUCACCCAUGAGGAGUAGGAGGUUAUUAAGCAGUUCACCUAAGUAUUUUGUGACAGAUACAGAAAAAAAUUUUGCAGAUGCAAUUGAGCACAUGGAAAUAACAGCACAAGAUAGUGCUUUAAAAGUUAUAGAGGAUGACAAUGAAAAAGUUAAUAACACAGAUAUAAAUAAUUUUUUAAAGUUGUUUCAGUUGUCAAAGGGUACAAAUAGUUAUACAGAUGACGAUUUUUUAUUUAACACUGAUGUUGAUUGUAGUAGUAAUGGUAACAGUAACUGCUAUAAUAAAAAUAAUAAUAAUAAUAAUAUUAAUAAUAACAUUAAUAUUAAUAAUAACAUUAAUAUUAAUAAUAACAUUAAUAAUAACAUUAAUAAUAAUAUUAAUAAUAAUAGCUGUAGCGGUGAUGAUCAUUUACUUUACAAGCCUUAUAAAAGUAUCUCCAUAUUAGAAAAUCAUGAUAAUAGUAACUACGAAAAUGGUAGUGGUAACUACGACAAUGGAAGUGGUAACUACGAAAAUGGAAGUGAUGAAUACAGCAAUGGCAAUAAUGUUAAUAAUAGUAAGAGUAGUAAUAGGAACAACUAUAGAAACGACAACACUAAACAUAAAAGGCAAGACGAUUUAGUCAUAGAAAUGAAUAAUAAUAAUAAUAAUAAUAGUAAUGGUAAUAGUAAUGGUAAUAGUAAUGGUAAUAGUAAUGGUAAUAGCAAUGGCGAUAGCAAUGACGAUAGCAAUGGCGAUAGCAAGGGCGAUAACAAUGGUAAUAGUAAUGGUAACAGUAAUGGUAACAUUAAUGGUAAUAGUAAUGGUAACAGUAAUGGUAGCAGUAAUGGUAGUAAUAAUGGUAGCAGUAAUGGUAACAGUAAUGGUAACAGUAAUGGUAACAGUAAUGGUAGUAAUAAUAUGUCAUCAGAAGAGCAUAUACAAAUUUGUAAUAACAUGAAGACACAACCAUUACCUUCUGUAACAAAUAUGGCAAUUAGUAAUGACCAUAAUAGCAUGGUCUUGUAUGAACCCAAUGAAAACUUAAAAAACGUGUACAAUAACAACUCCUUAAUCAGUUGUUCUAAUUUUUGGAAUUAUCAAGAAGAAGAGUUAGCUAAUAAAACAUCAAAAAUUGUUCGUAAUGUGGAAAUUUUUGACUGUUAAAAAAAAAAAAAAAAAAAGUUAAGUUGCUAUAUAAAUGGAAAACAGUGACCAAGUGAAUUGUAAGAAGUUGAGUUGAAGAAAAGGUUAUAAAAGAAAAAAACAGAAAAAAACAGAAAAAAACAAAAAACAAAAAACGAAAAAAAAUAAAUAAAUAAAUAAAUAAAUAAGUAAAUAAAUA
rnacentral:lncRNA from 1 species